GUGAGUCAUCGAAUCUUUGAACGCACAUUGCGCCCGCCAGUAUUCUGGCGGGCAUGCCUGUCCGAGCGUCAUUUCAACCCUCGAACCCCUCCGGGGGAUCGGCGUUGGGGAUCGGGACCCCUCACCGGGUGCCGGCCCUGAAAUACAGUGGCGGUCUCGCCGCAGCCUCUCCUGCGCAGUAGUUUGCACAACUCGCACCGGGNGCGCGGCGCGUCCACGUCCGUAAAACACCCAACUUCUGAAAUGUUGACCUCGGAUCAGGUAGGAAUACCCGCUGAACUUAAGCAUAUCAAUAAGCGG
rnacentral:misc_RNA from 1 species